AGUGUAGGCGGCUACUUAAGUCGGAUGUGAAAGCCCCGGGCUCAACCUGGGAAUUGCAUUCGAUACUGGGUAGCUAGAGUUUGGUAGAGGUAAGUGGAAUUCCAGGUGUAGCGGUGAAAUGCGUAGAUAUCUGGAGGAACAUCAGUGGCGAAGGCGGCUUACUGGACCAAAACUGACGCUGAGGCUCGAAAGCGUGGGGAGCAAACAGGAUUAGAUACCCUGGUAGUC
rnacentral:rRNA from 1 species